rnacentral:rRNA from 1 species
AGCUUGCUCCUUUGACGUUAGCGGCGGANNNNNNNNNAACACGUGGGUAACCUACCUAUAAGACUGGGAUAACUUCGGGAAACCGGAGCUAAUACCGGAUAACAUUUGGAACCGCAUGGUUCUAAAGUGAAAGAUGGUUUUGCUAUCACUUAUAGAUGGACCCGCGCCGUAUUAGCUAGUUGGUAAGGUAACGGCUUACCAAGGCGACGAUACGUAGCCGACCUGAGAGGGUGAUCGGCCACACUGGAACUGAGACACGGUCCAGACUCCUACGGGAGGCAGCAGUAGGGAAUCUUCCGCAAUGGGCGAAAGCCUGACGGAGCAACGCCGCGUGAGUGAUGAAGGGUUUCGGCUCGUAAAACUCUGUUAUUAGGGAAGAACAAAUGUGUAAGUAACUGUGCACAUCUUGACGGUACCUAAUCAGAAAGCCACGGCUAACUACGUGCCAGCAGCCGCGGUAAUACGUAGGUGGCAAGCGUUAUCCGGAAUUAUUGGGCGUAAAGCGCGCGUAGGCGGUUUCUUAAGUCUGAUGUGAAAGCCCACGGCUCAACCGUGGAGGGUCAUUGGAAACUGGGAAACUUGAGUGCAGAAGAGGAAAGUGGAAUUCCAUGUGUAGCGGUGAAAUGCGCAGAGAUAUGGAGGAACACCAGUGGCGAAGGCGACUUUCUGGUCUGUAACUGACGCUGAUGUGCGAAAGCGUGGGGAUCAAACAGGAUUAGAUACCCUGGUAGUCCACGCCGUAAACGAUGAGUGCUAAGUGUUAGGGGGUUUCCGCCCCUUAGUGCUGCAGCUAACGCAUUAAGCACUCCGCCUGGGGAGUACGACCGCAAGGUUGAAACUCAAAGGAAUUGACGGGGACCCGCACAAGCGGUGGAGCAUGUGGUUUAAUUCGAAGCAACGCGAAGAACCUUACCAAAUCUUGACAUCCUUUGAAAACUCUAGAGAUAGAGCCUUCCCCUUCGGGGGACAAAGUGACAGGUGGUGCAUGGUUGUCGUCAGCUCGUGUCGUGAGAUGUUGGGUUAAGUCCCGCAACGAGCGCAACCCUUAAGCUUAGUUGCCAUCAUUAAGUUGGGCACUCUAGGUUGACUGCCGGUGACAAACCGGAGGAAGGUGGGGAUGACGUCAAAUCAUCAUGCCCCUUAUGAUUUGGGCUACACACGUGCUACAAUGGACAAUACAAAGGGCAGCUAAACCGCGAGGUCAUGCAAAUCCCAUAAAGUUGUUCUCAGUUCGGAUUGUAGUCUGCAACUCGACUACAUGAAGCUGGAAUCGCUAGUAAUCGUAGAUCAGCAUGCUACGGUGAAUACGUUCCCGGGUCUUGUACACACCGCCCGUCACACCACGAGAGUUUGUAACACCCGAAGCCGGUGGAGUAACCAUUUAUGGAGCUAGCCGUCGAAGGUGGGACAAAUGA